AGAGUUUGAUCAUGGCUCAGGACGAACGCUGGCGGCGUGCUUAACACAUGCAAGUCGAGCGAGGCCCUCUCCUUCGGGAGAGGUGUCCUAGCGGCGAACGGGUGAGUAACACGUGGGCAACCUGCCCUCCGCUCUGGGAUAACCCCGGGAAACCGGAGCUAAUACCGGAUACGACCUCGGAAGACAUCUUCUGAGGCGGAAAGAAUUUCGGCGGAGGAUGGGCCCGCGGCCUAUCAGCUUGUUGGUGGGGUAACGGCCCACCAAGGCGACGACGGGUAGCCGGCCUGAGAGGGCGACCGGCCACACUGGGACUGAGACACGGCCCAGACUCCUACGGGAGGCAGCAGUGGGGAAUAUUGCGCAAUGGGCGAAAGCCUGACGCAGCGACGCCGCGUGAGGGAUGAAGGCCUUCGGGUUGUAAACCUCUUUCAGCAGGGACGAAGCGAAAGUGACGGUACCUGCAGAAGGAGCACCGGCCAACUACGUGCCAGCAGCCGCGGUAAUACGUAGGGUGCAAGCGUUGUCCGGAAUUAUUGGGCGUAAAGAGCUCGUAGGCGGUCUGUCACGUCGGCUGUGAAAACCCGGGGCUCAACCCCGGGCCUGCAGUCGAUACGGGCAGACUAGGGUGCGGUAGGGGAGACUGGAAUUCCUGGUGUAGCGGUGAAAUGCGCAGAUAUCAGGAGGAACACCGGUGGCGAAGGCGGGUCUCUGGGCCGUAACUGACGCUGAGGAGCGAAAGCGUGGGGAGCGAACAGGAUUAGAUACCCCCGUAGUCC
rnacentral:rRNA from 1 species